rnacentral:rRNA from 1 species
AGAGAGAGACAUGCGCGCAUAUCAAUAAGCGGAGGAAAAGAAACUAACAAGGAUUCCCUUAGUAACGGCGAGUGAAGCGGGAAGAGCUCAAAUUUGAAAUCUUAAAGGGUUUCCCUUUACGAAUUGUAGUUUAAAGAAGUGUUUUCUGUUGAGGUUUUGGUAAAAGUUCUUUGGAAUAGGACAUCAUAGAGGGUGAGAAUCCCGUAUUUGACCUUUACUUUCAACUUUGUGAUACACUUUCAAAGAGUCGGAUUGUUUGGGAAUGCAGUCCAAAAUGGGUGGUAAAUUUCAUCUAAAGCUAAAUAUUGGCGAGAGACCGAUAGCGAACAAGUACCGUGAGGGAAAGAUGAAAAGAACUUUGAAAAGAGAGUUAAACAGUACGUGAAAUCGUCAAAAGGGAAGCGUUUGACACCAGUGUUGUUUUUCUGAAGAUCAAUUAAAGAACUGUUUAUGCUAAGUUGUUUAGACUUUAUCAGCUAACUGUUUAGUUUUGAGCUUUUCUUUAAUGCACUUUUCAGUUAACAAGUCAACAUCAAUUUCUUUUGCUGUAAAAAAGCUUGAGGAAGGUGGCUUGAGAUUCGUCUUAAGUGUUUAUAGCCUCUUGCCUAUGCAGUCGGAGAGAUUGAGGUCUGCAGCGUAGAUCCUUCGGGGCUAAAUGCAUUUGUGCUAAGUUAUAGCAUUUUAUAGACAACUUGUUGACUAUGAUUUGUCUUGUAGCUUACUCGCUUAUGUUAUUUUACCUACGCUUAGGAUGUUGACGCAUGAGAUAUACGC